UACGGAGGGAGCUAGCGUUGUUCGGAAUUACUGGGCGUAAAGCGCACGUAGGCGGCUAUUCAAGUCGGGGGUGAAAGCCCGGGGCUCAACCCCGGAAUUGCCCUCGAAACUAGAUAGCUAGAAUCUUGGAGAGGCGAGUGGAAUUCCGAGUGUAGAGGUGAAAUUCGUAGAUAUUCGGAAGAACACCAGUGGCGAAGGCGACUCGCUGGACAAGUAUUGACGCUGAGGUGCGAAAGCGUGGGGAGCAAACGGG
rnacentral:rRNA from 1 species